rnacentral:rRNA from 1 species
UACUGACGCUGAGGAACGAAAGCAUGGGUAGCGAAGAGGAUUAGAUACCCUCGUAGUCCAUGCCGUAAACGAUGUGUGUUAGACGUUGGAAAUUUAUUUUCAGUGUCGCAGCGAAAGCGUUAAACACACCGCCUGGGGAGUACGACCGCAAGGUUAAAACUCAAAUGAAUUGACGGGGACCCGCACAAGUAGUGGAGCAUGUGGUUUAAUUCGAAGAUACGCGCAGAACCUUACCAACACUUGACAUGUUCGUCGCGACUCUAAGAGAUUAGAGUUUUCGGUUCGGCCGGACGAAACACAGGUGCUGCAUGGCUGUCGUCAGCUCGUGUCGUGAGAUGUUGGGUUAAGUCCCGCAACGAGCGCAACCCUCACUUUUAGUUGCCAUCAUUUAGUUGGGCACUCUGAAAGAACUGCCAGUGAUAAGCUGGAGGAAGGUGGGGAUGACGUCAAGUCCUCAUGGCCCUUACGUGUUGGGCUACACACGUGCUACAAUGGCAUUUACAAUAGGAAGCAAGAUGGCGACAUCAAGCAAAUCCUAAAAAGAUGCCUCAGUUCGGAUUGUACUCUGCAACUCGAGUACAUGAAGCUGGAAUUACUAGUAAUCGCGGAUCAGCGCGCCGCGGUGAAUACGUUCCCGGGUCUUGUACACACCGCCCGUCACACCAUGGGAGUUGGUUCUACCUUAAGGCAAGGUUUUAAACCCUUGACUACGGUAUAGUCAGCGACUGGGGUGAAGUCGUAACAAGGUAGCCGUAGGGGAACCUGCGGCUG